rnacentral:rRNA from 1 species
GGGCUGCAGUGGGGAAUUUUGGACAAUGGGCGAAAGCCUGAUCCAGCAAUACCGCGUGCAGGAAGAAGGCCUUCGGGUUGUAAACUGCUUUUGUACGGAACGAAAAGGUCUGCCUUAAUACGGUGGGCUCAUGACGGUACCGUAAGAAUAAGCACCGGCUAACUACGUGCCAGCAGCCGCGGUAAUACGUAGGGUGCGAGCGUUAAUCGGAAUUACUGGGCGUAAAGCGUGCGCAGGCGGCUUUGUAAGACAGACGUGAAAUCCCCGGGCUCAACCUGGGAAUUGCGUUUGUGACUGCAAGGCUAGAGUACGGUAGAGGGGGGUAGAAUUCCGCGUGUAGCAGUGAAAUGCGUAGAUAUGCGGAGGAACACCGAUGGCGAAGGCAGCCCCCUGGACCUGUACUGACGCUCAUGCACGAAAGCGUGGGGAGCAAACAGGAUUAGAUACCCCAGUAGUC